UCCCUGAGGGAUAGCUCAGUUGGUAAAGCAUGAGACUCUUAAUCUCACGGUCAUGGGUUCAAGACCCAUGUUGGGUGAA